UUUUCAUGGAUUCCCGACUGAAUUGAGUCUAAGGAAGAAGUGGAUUCAAGCGGUUCGCCGGGAUGAAGGGCCAAACUUUAAAAUAAAACAAGUGGAACAACUGGGGACUGCCAAGAAGGGGGUCUGUUUAUAAAAGAGCAUCAACUCGCUUAGGCCAUGACGUUCACCCAGCCCUUCCUCUGGAGCAACCGCUGCCCUGUGAAUAAGAGCCGAUGGAGGAGAUCGCAGCUUCGGUGGUGAUGACAGAACAUGAUUUCGGUUAUGCUCCUAAACCAGGUGCACUGGAUGCUGCUGCUGUACACAUACAGUAAUUGGAAGAAACAGUCAAGGAGCUGAUGAGAGCUGUCACAGCUGAAAGUGGUUCAAGUGCCUUUUCACAUAUUAUGUGUCUCAGACGAGGACAUCCUUUUUUACACCAGAUUCACGUCAAGAGAUGUUUUUUGUGACUUCUGGGAGGUUAUUCAACCAUCUGCCUCCAUGUUGGUUCAUUGGUCGAAAGCUCAGAAAAAGAAACAAACAUUUGAACCCAUUUCUCCCAGUCCAACGUGUAGA
ensembl:lncRNA